rfam:Streptococcus sp. FF10 genome assembly, contig: CONTIG000003
GGAGAGAUAGCGAAGUGGCUAAACGCGGCGGACUGUAAAUCCGCUCCUUCGGGUUCGGGGGUUCGAAUCCCUCUCUCUCCA